rnacentral:rRNA from 1 species
UACGUAGGGUGCGAGCGUUGUCCGGAAUUAUUGGGCGUAAAGAGCGUGUAGGCGGCUAGGUAGGUCCGUUGUGAAAACUCGAGGCUCAACCUCGAGACGUCGAUGGAAACCAUCUAGCUAGAGUCCGGAAGAGGAGAGUGGAAUUCCUGGUGUAGCGGUGAAAUGCGCAGAUAUCAGGAAGAACACCCGUGGCGAAGGCGGCUCUCUGGUACGUGACUGACGCUGAGACGCGAAAGCGUGGGGAGCAAACAGG